AGUGGCGAACGGGUGAGUAACACGUGAGUAACCUGCCCCUGACUCUGGGAUAAGCGUUGGAAACGACGUCUAAUACUGGAUAUGAUCACUGGCCGCAUGGUCUGGUGGUGGAAAGAUUUUUUGGUUGGGGAUGGACUCGCGGCCUAUCAGCUUGUUGGUGAGGUAAUGGCUCACCAAGGCGACGACGGGUAGCCGGCCUGAGAGGGUGACCGGCCACACUGGGACUGAGACACGGCCCAGACUCCUACGGGAGGCAGCAGUGGGGAAUAUUGCACAAUGGGCGAAAGCCUGAUGCAGCAACGCCGCGUGAGGGAUGACGGCCUUCGGGUUGUAAACCUCUUUUAGUAGGGAAGAAGCGAAAGUGACGGUACCUGCAGAAAAAGCACCGGCUAACUACGUGCCAGCAGCCGCGGUAAUACGUAGGGUGCAAGCGUUGUCCGGAAUUAUUGGGCGUAAAGAGCUCGUAGGCGGUUUGUCGCGUCUGCUGUGAAAUCCCGAGGCUCAACCUCGGGCUUGCAGUGGGUACGGGCAGACUAGAGUGCGGUAGGGGAGAUUGGAAUUCCUGGUGUAGCGGUGGAAUGCGCAGAUAUCAGGAGGAACACCCAUGGCGAAAGCAGAUCUCUGGGCCGUAACUGACGCUUAGGAGCGAAAGCAUGGGGAGCGAACAGGAUUAAAUACCCUG
rnacentral:rRNA from 1 species